rfam:Sugiyamaella lignohabitans strain CBS 10342 chromosome A, complete sequence.
GCGCUUUUAGUAUAGAGGUAGUAUGCCUGCUUCGGGAAAGUGCUAAUGCAUGUCCCCACCCUUAAAAAGGGCGACUAGAGUUUUGUAGGUGACGGGGGUUCGAUUCCUCCAAAGCGCA